ensembl:lncRNA
AAGGUGCUUUGAAAGUUAAUAAGACUCAGUUGGAGCUCUCUCCAGGGAGUGGAGCUGGCGGGGUGUACCGACGUCGUGCACCAGUGGGGUGAAGGGGUGUCUCGCUAAAACGGGCGAAUCCACGGGAAACAAUAAAUGGGCACAACAGCAGCGCCCUUGGGACUACCAGUGAGACUAACGCGAGAAGAGCAAACGGACCCGGCGCUCUACCUAAGCACAUUGGCCAUAAAUUACAUUUUCCAUUUCAGCGGGACUGGGCUGGAAAGUGUGCGAAAGCUGGAGAGAGACCGUGCGAGAGAAGGGGGGGGGGGCGAAAUGAGGAGAGGGAGCGAAGAGAGAGAGAGAGGGAGGAAGGGAGGGAGGGAGAGAGCGCGCAUCCGGGAAAGAGGCAAAUAGCAAAGAGAGACCAAUUAGACCGGCAAAAAAGGGCCCGCUGCUGUGGAGCGCGUUGCUAGUCUGUGGAUGACUGACGAGUUCUUAAAUCGACACCAAUCCAGUUUUUUUCCCUCUCUUUUUUUUCUUCCGUGUCAUCGUACAUUCCUUGUCGACAACAAGGAUUGGAACUACAUUUUUAUCCCUCUCUCUCUCUCUCUCUCAAAAUGUAACGUCGACUGCUUCCAAAUCGGUCCUGCGUUCCACAACUGUGUGCCUCCCGGCGGAUUAUUUCAGCAGUUACAGCCCUUCCGUGGAGCCGACGGGAUCAGCACCCUGGUCAGCGACUGGUCGCGGAGAGGCUGUGGAUCAUGGCAGAGGGGGAGAGACGAUGCAUCUGAGGCCCUUAUAGAAGAGCCCCCCUAUGGGGAGCAGUUGCCGGACAUGGGGGCUGCUUCGGCCACUGACCCCUUGUCCCAGUGAUUAAUGGCACCAGACUCUCGCCUCUGCAGUUGUCCCAAGCUUCGUCCACUGCAACGCACCACCUCCCCUAUCCACCUUGCUCUUCUACUUUAUUUAUCUCUCUCGCUGUUUGUUUCCCCUCACACGACCCAGAAACUUGCAGUUAGCCUGUUCACUUCAGCGAGCAAUUCCUCAGACACCGACACCAACUCACACAGACAGGCACCCAAAUCUGAAGAUAUAAUAGCCUCAUCAUCCCCAUACCGAUACCCUGUCUAUAACUGGAUCAUGGAGGCUCAGCCAUAGGAGCCAUUUAAAGGCUGCCUCAUUGUUCAGCCAUCCUGGAGAGAUCAAUGGAACUGCGCUGACUGAUGUGUAGAGCGACUCCUUCAGUCACCCAAAAGGAAAGAUCACCCGCCAACACCAAACUCUUAUAACGCUGUCCUUGAGCAGCUAUUCUCUCUCCAACUCUGAUGGAUGUGUGCUUCUGUAUUAUUUAGAGGCAAACAUUAUUGAGGAAGGACAUAUUUCAAACUGACACACGAUUCAUUGUUUGUCUCAAAGAGUCAUAAGAGAUUCCAUUUACCUGAGAUGUUUGAGUGUGUGUUGUCGUGACUCCAGCCUAGUGUGGCUUGUCUGAAAUUUAGCUGAUCAAGAAAGGAGGACAAAAAAACAACAAGAGCGUCGACUAAGACGCUACUAGCUGCCGCUGUGACAUACGUGCCAGGGUUGUUGUUGUCGUGA